UUUUAUAGCCUCACAUAUAUCUUAAUAUCUCUAUAGUCUAAUUGCACUUUCUUUUCAUAUUCAUUUUACAUUGUGUGCAUAACAUAACAAAGCUAAUUCCCUCAGGUUCUCUAGGUAAAUUUACGUUAGAAGUUUUGUAAAGUUCCAUUUUGACAUACUAAAACAGGGGUGUCCAAUCUUGUCCGGAAAGGGCCGGUGUGGGUGCAGGUUUUCAUUCUAACCAAGCAGAAGCCAUAUAUACAUACGUGAAACCUAAGUGAAAAUGUCCAAAUUAGGCCCAAUUAGCCAUUUUCCCUCCCCGGUGUCAUGUGACUUGUUAGUGUUACAAGGUCUCAGGUGUGAAUGGGGAGCAGGUGUGUUAAAUUUGGUAACAUCACUCUCACACUCCCUCACACUGGAAGUUCAACAUGGCACCUCAUGGCAAAGAACUCUCUGAGGAUCUGAAAAAAAAGAAUUGUUGCUCUACAUAAAGAUGGCCUAGGCUAUAAGAAGAUUGCCAAGACCCUGACACUGAGCUGCAGCACCGUGGCCAAGACCAUACAGCGGUUUAACAGGACAGGUUCCACUCGGAACAGGCCUCGCCAUGGUCGACCAAAGAUGUUGAGUGCACGUGCUCAGCGUCAUAUCCAGAGGUUGUCUUUGGGAAAUAGACAUAUGACUGCCAGCAUUUCUGCAGAGGUUGAAGGGGUGGGGGGUCAGCCUGUCAGUGCUCAGACCAUACGCCGCACACUGCAUCAAAUUGGUCUGCAUGGCUGUCGUCCCAGAAGGAAGCCUCUUCUAAAGAUGAUGCACAAGAAAUCUCAAACUGCUGAAGACAAGCAGACUAAAGACAUGGAUUACUGGAAACAUGUCCUGUGGUCUUAUGAGACCAAGAUAAACUUAUUUGGUUCAGAUGGUGUCAAGCAUGUGUGGUGGCAACCAGGUGAGGAGUACAAAGACAAGUGUGUCUUGCCUACAGUCAAGCAUGGUGAUGGGAGUGUCAUGGUCUGGGGCUGCAUGAGUGCUGCCGGCACUGGGGAGCUACAGUUCAUUGAGGGUACCAUGAAUGCCAACAUGUACUGUGAUAUACUGAAGCAGAAACUGGGCCGCAGGGCAAUAUUCCAUGAUAAUGACCCCAAACACACCUCCAAGACGACCACUGCAUUGCUAAAGAAGCUGAGGGUGAAGGUGAUGGACUGGCCAAGCAUGUCUCCAGACCUAAACCCUAUUGAGCAUCUGUGGGGCAUCCUCAAACGGAUGGUGGAGCAGCACAAGGUCUCUAACAUCCACCAGCUCCGUGAUGUCAUGGAGGAGUGGAAGAGGACUCCCGUGGCAACCUGUGAAGCUCUGGUGUACUCCAUGCCUAAGAGGGUUAAGGCAGUGCUGGAAAAUAAAGCUAGAGACAAUUGGAGAUGAUAAGAGGAAAUACACAUACCUUAAGGAUGGUGAUGUUAUUAAGACUGAUGGAGCCACAUUACGGUAUGUCACAUAAGAGGAACAAUGGUUUUGUUCACCCCAGGCCACACUGAUGACCAUAUGGCUCUGUAUCUGGAGGAGGAGGGAGCACUGUUCUCUGGAGACUGCAUUCUGGGGGAAGGGACAGCUGUGUUUGAGGACCUACAUGAUUACAUGCUC